rnacentral:tRNA from 1 species
GGGUGUAUAGCUUAAGUGAUAAGGCGUGUGCUUAGCAUGCACGAGGUCCUGGGUUCAAUCCCCAGUAUCUCUA